rnacentral:sRNA from 1 species
CAGAGUCCGAAGUCUUACUGACCUAAAGCAGCGCGUCUUGGUGGACCGCCAGGACCUCUCCUUGAACUUGGCUGGCCCGGGUCGGAGUCUGAACUCAACGACGUUUGCAAAUCCCACACAGACGCUCAGCCUACCUCCAAGGGGAUGACGAAGCCAGAUGCGUGGCCAGCAUUUUUCCAGUAGUUGAGGGAGAGUGGGGUAGAGAGGCUGUAAGAGCCAGAGACGGUAGAGGAAUCCGAAGGAAACUGAAGUUUCCAGACUCGACAAGGAGACGCACCUAUGACUGUGACAACACGCAUAACACCUGCACAAGCUCAAGCCAGAUCAAAACCCCAUCGUGCAGAGGGUAAAGUGGGCACACAUCCCCACUCCUCACCAAGAGGUGACUGGCAACUGGUACUGGAGGGAGAGGGGAAAUCGGUUUUCAUCAUUGGAGUGACAUCGGGUGGGUCAACCACACUCAAGAGCUCAGAAAGAGUUGGCCAACACAAAUCUAACUCCAAGGUCUUGUUCGUUUUGAAACAGGAUGACUCUGUGUAGCUGUAGCGCUGGCUUGCCUGGAACUCUGUAGACCAGGCUGGCCUGGAACUCACAGAGCCGCUGCCUGCCUCCUGAGUGCUGGGAUUAAAAGCGUGCACCGCCACCUCCGCUUCCACCACUACCUCAGCUUGCUCUGUUGUGUGUGUCUAUGUGUGUGUGUGUGUGUGUGUGUGUGUGUGUGUGUGUGAGAGAG